AUACGUAGGGGACGAGCGUUGUCCGGAAUUACUGGGCGUAAAGGGCGCGCAGGCGGAUAUUUAAGUCAGCUGUAAAAGGCAUGAGCUCAACUCAUGUAUGCGGUUGAAACUGGGUAUCUAGAGUGCUGGAGAGGUAGGCGGAAUUACCGGUGUAGCGGUGAAAUGCGUAGAUAUCAGGAAGAAUACCAGUGGCGAAGGCGGUUUGCUGGCUGCAUACUGACGCUGAAGCGCGAAAGCCAGGGGAGCAAACGGGAUUAGAUACCCCGGUAGUCCUGGCAGUAAACGAUGUAUGCUGGGUGUGAGACUAGCGAUAGUUUCGUGCCGAAGUUAACGCGAUAAGCAUACCGCCUGGGGAGUACGGUCGCAAGAUUGAAACUCAAAGGAAUUGACGGGG
rnacentral:rRNA from 1 species